UACCGAGGUCCCAAGCGUUACUGAGAAUCACUGGGUUUAAAGGGUGCGUAGGUGGUCCGUUAAGUUCGUUGUGAAAUCCCCGAGCUCAACUCGGGAACUGCUUCGGAUACUGGCGGACUUGAGGCCAAUAGAGGUCACUGGAACUGACGGUGGAGCGGUGAAAUGCGUAGAUAUCGUCAGGAACGCCGGUGGUGAAGACGGGUGACUGGGCUGGUUCUGACACUGAGGCACGAAAGCGUGGGGAGCGAACGGG
rnacentral:rRNA from 1 species